rnacentral:rRNA from 1 species
UACGUAGGGGGCUAGCGUUGUCCGGAUUCAUUGGGCGUAAAGAGCGUGUAGGCGGCCAGGUAGGUCUGCUGUGAAAACUCGAGGCUCAACCUCGAGACGUCGGCGGAAACCAUCUGGCUAGAGUCCGGAAGAGGAGAGUGGAAUUCCUGGUGUAGCGGUGAAAUGCGCAGAUAUCAGGAAGAACACCCGUGGCGAAGGCGGCUCUCUGGGACGGUACUGACGCUGAGAAGCGAAUGCAUGGGGAGCGAACAGG